rnacentral:lncRNA from 1 species
GUUCUCCAGCCGAGGCUCGGGACUGCUGCAGGGUGGAAAAUGAAAGUUCUGAGAGCACCUUCCGCCCCUCCGCUUCUGCACAGCCGGGGCUGCGGUGCGAGGAGCUUGGCCGCGGGGCCCGAACGAGGCGAAGGGGCCGGGGCCCUUGGGGAACCCCCUUCUCUCUUCCACUCUCCCUUAGGUAAAACCCGUGUUCCUCUCACGCUCGACCCAGCGCCUUUCCAGCUGCGGUCGAUUUGCUUCUCCGCGUGUAAGUACAGCCACCCUCAAGGUCAUUGAAAAAGUUUGCUUUAAAUGAGCGUCUGCGGAACUCGUCCUGAGGCUCUCACUGUUACAGAUUAGAGAUGGGGGCGCUUUCUAGUGGAGGAUUUUGCUUUUGCUCUUCUACUUUUGCAAGAAGCUUUUUGUCCUGAAAAGUGGACAGUCAUCUCCAUUUAUAGCUUGGAAUGAAAAUUUGACUAUGGAAGUUGCAGUCGCUACUUGAGAAAUAUUUCCUCCUUCUUUUUUUUUUUUUUUUUUUAUUUUUGACACGGAGUUUUGCUGUUGUUGCCCAAGCUGGAGAGCAGUGCGCGAUCUCGGCUCACUGCAACCUCCGCCUUCCGGUUUCAAGCGAUUCUCCUGCCUCAGCCUCCCGAGUAGGCGGGAUUACAGGUAUGUGCCACCAUGCCCGGCUAAUUUUUGUAUUUUUAGUAGACACGGGGUUUCACCAUGUUGGCCAGGCUGGUCUCGAACUCCUGACCUCGUGAUCCACCCGCUUCGGCCUCCCAGGUCCUCCUUCCGUUUUAAAGGAUAAACCUUGAAAUGCUUUUAAAAUAUGCAGCGUGUAGAAUUUGGUUAGUUGGUUGGUUGGGGUUUUUUAGAGAAAAUGAGAGGUAGAAUGGACUCUAAGUUAAACCCUGGGGGACAGUGUCACUCUGGCCGCUGGCCUGGCUGGGAAAGGCGAUGAGACCCUGAGCAGGUUAAAACCCGUGUCCUGAAGGUGUCCUGUAAAGGGAAAUAGGCCCGUUGCCUCCUUCGUAGGUGCCCUGAGACUCCGACAAGGCAGGAAUGCCAAGGUAUUUCGUACCUGCUCAGCCCUGGCAUGUCAGGUUGCUGAGACCGAGCAGUGUGGGGCUGAGGUGGAAGCGGACCUUCUGGGGCGUGGAAAGCGCACCAGGAGACCCCGGCUCCUUCUCAGCCAGCACUGCCUCAUCCUCAGAACAAAUUUAAGUCAAUUCAGCAUUUAUUCAAUGCCUGUUGCAUGCAAGUGACAACCUAAAUAACAGAGAGGAUCUCUAAAAGAAACAGAUAUUUAUUUUGCAAUAGAGCUUUGCAGUAGAAAUAUGCAUGCCAUGGUAAACUUGUGCAUAUUCAGAGAGGCAAGGAAAGCAAAGGCUUUAAAAAAAAUGAGGCGGAUUGCACAAUUGUUUGAAAAUAAUUAUCUGUGGCUACAAAGAUCCAUAACGAAGGCGAUGCCAGUUCAAAGUAGGACAGCCAGUGGCUGGGCCAUGUCCUUGCAGGACUAGUUUUUUGUGGGAGAUUGCAGUGGCCUUUGUGCAAGGUUGCGGUUUUUCCAGAGAGUCCUUUUUGUUAUCAGGCAUGCACGCGCAAGAACCCUCUCUUCAUGGCCUUCCCCGGCUCUGUUUGUCAGGGUUUUCUUAACAUUAGCGGCUCCAUUUCGAUUCUGACAAUUUUCACACAAGCUACAGUGCCUGGCCUGGGACGACACAAACAUGAGUCAGGUUUGGUGCCUGUUGGCCAGGCGCAGUGGCACACACCUGUAAUCCCACCACUCUGAGAGGCCGAGGCAGAUGGAUCCUUUGAGCCCAGGAGUUCAAGAUUAGCCUGGCAACAUAGGGAGACCCCCGUCUCUAUGAAAAUUACAGAAAAAAUUUGCCAUGCAUGGUGGUGUGCACCUGUAGUCCUAGUCCAAAGUUGCUUUGACUAUUCUGGAACAUUUACACUUCCAUAUGAAUUCUGGAAUCAAUGUAUCUAACCUCAGGAAACACAUUAAUGACAUAUAUAGUUAAAUUUAGGAAGAGUGGAUAUCUUUAUAAUAUUAAAAUGUCCCAUUUAUGAACAUGGUAUACCUCUCCAUUUAUUCAGCGGGUGUUCAAGGCUCACCUAGAAUUUUUACACUUCUUUCUACUUUUUUACCAUCAGGAAGUUUAAUCACUUCCUGGAGCAUGCUUUUUGAUUCUCCAAAUUUUACCCCCUGUCUGCUUCUCUCACCUGAGCUCUUUGUCCAUUUCUUCAUCCACCUACUAAGCCUUUCUACAUGGAUGUCUCAAUAUGGCAACCCACCACAUCGUUCAUCUGCCCUUCUGUAAAUGCAGAGUCAUUCAUUCUUUCACCUUCUUUAUAACCAUAUCCAAUUCAUCACCAAGCCCAAUGGAUUUUCCCUUCUAAAUAAAUCCCUCUAACAUCUUCUCUCUCUUUUCCCACAGACGCCCACUUGUCUGGAACCUUCUUACACCUAAAUAGUUAGAAUCCACUCCUAUUUGGUCUCCUUAACUCCAAGCUCCUGCCGUCCCAAUCACUGUCAGACUAACCUUUCAUAACCACUGCUUUCUCUACCCAGAGACCUGCCACGGCUCCCUACUUUCUAUCUCCACAAGUCCAAAUCCUGCCCCCCGCCACACACACACACACACACUUACCACCCUUUUUACAGUAGCUCUCCCGCCUCCUUUAGCUCCUGUUGCCCUGUGUGUGGCUUAUUUACAGGUUUGAUGGUGCAGUUUCCUUCUCUAGGGUGUUAGCUCCAUGGGGAAGCAGCUUCUUCUGUGUUGUUCACCACUGUGCCUGGUGAACACCACUGCACCUAGCACACAAUGGGCACUGAAGAAGGCACUGAGUCGCAGAAGAAUGAAUGAAUUCCCCUCCCUGGUGAGGCCAGAAGCAACAUCCUGUAAGCAUAUCAUGACCAGCUAUUCUCCACUUCAUUGCUCACUGAGUUUGCCCACUUGAAAAGCCCUCCAACCCCUCAUCUGUGCAGGUUUGGAAUUCUGUGCAGGACUCAGGGAUUCCAUGAGGUGCAGCCCAGGCACACCCCCUUCUAAUCCUCUCCCUCUGGGGAGACCUUUCCUGCUCCUUCAUAUGAGUUUCUACCACCCUGCUGGCCUCUUCGAUGCAGUUUAGCCCCUGACAAUGACUAACGGACUCAUUUGACUCUCAUCAUCUCUAGUAAUUUAAAAAUUCCCUAGGGUCAGGGAGCAGGUCCUAACCUCAUUCAACACCUCACCCAGUGCCUUGUCCCUUUCUCAGCACAUUCUUCUACUCAGUAAAUGUUUGAAGAAGCCUCAUGAGGGCAGGAAUCUUUGUGUUUUGUUUCUCUUAUGUCUCCCAAGUACCUGGCCCUGGAAGGCAAUUGAUGCUCAAUCAAUACACAUUUUAAUAAAUUCGCUAGUGAACUGAAACACCACCUGAAACACUGCUGCUUUUAGAGUUUGUGGAGGGAGGGACUGUUCCCUGCACCUACCCCAGUGACUGGCACCUGGAAUUCACCGAGCAAGUUGGUUGAAAAAGUUAAAGGAAUUUUCCAGCACUUUGAAAACUAAACCAAGAGAAUGUCUCCAUAUCAAAUUUCAGCCACUCCUUAUAAAAAUGUCUUAAAGGCUGUAAAUCACCGUAUUCACCUGCAGGAAGCAGUGUUGAGGAAGGAGGUAGUAUAGGGUUAAGGGUCUAUUUAAACCAGCUGCUUAGGGCCAAGUUAGAUGUUUAUUCUGUCUAGUUUAAACCACUGGCUUAACAGGGUACUUAAUUUUCCAGUUUCAUCAAAGAAAUGUGCUGUGAGGCCAAGAAAAUUAUGUAGUUCAUUUUUUUAAAAGAGAUGCAAACUGAGAAAUUCUGUGACCAUUAACAGUCUCAUUAAAGAAAUAAGAAAAUAUGAUUGUUUCUCUUAGAUUUUGCAAAAUGGCUAAGGAGCAUUUUUAGACACUUUGUUGUAGAACAACUCUCUUUUAAGCUACUUUCCUCCUUUCUUAAAAACAAAAUAUAGGCCGGGUGUGGUGGCUCACACUUGCAAUCCCAGCACUUUGGGAGGCUGAGGCAGAUGGAUCACCUGAGGUCAGGAGUUCGAGACCAGCCUGGCCAACAUGGUGAAACCCCAUCUCUACUAAAAGUACAAAAAUUAGCUGGGCGUGAUGGUAGGCACCUGUAAUCCCAGCUACUUGGGAGGCUGAGGCACGAGAAUCGCUUGAAUCCAGGAGGCAGAGGUUACAGUGAGCCGAGGUCAUGCCACUGCACUCCAGCCUGGUGGUCAGAGCGAGACUUUGGCUCAAAAAAAAAAAAAAUGUAUUAUCCAUUUAUUAUGUACUCAUUCAGCAGAUAGGAGCAAAAGCGCCCAUUCUACUCUUAAGUCCCAACCCAGAAAUAGAGCAGUGAGGGAAACUGACAGCAUCCUGGGCCUCAGCACCUGCUGGGAGAAAGAGCCAACAAAAUACACAGCAACACACAGGAUAUAGCACCCUUGGUGUUGAUUAAACGCUAGAUGAAGAAAAGGGAGGAGGAGACGGGAGGAAUGCAGGCUGAGGCGGUGGCAGGGGGCUCCAUUUUAAACAGGAUGUCGACAAAGAUAGAAUUUCAGCGAGUGCUAGAAUGAGGUAAGGACUUACAUCAACAAUCUGCCCGCACCAUUUCUUCUUAGAUUUCAGAAACUGUUUUCGUUUGAUUCAAUACUGGUGCCUUCCUUCGGUUCAUUUUCUGUUUAUCAUAAAAAUUAUCCUAGGUCUUCAAAACUAAUUUAAUGGAAUUGUAUAGAAAUGGAAAUAAAAGUGACUACAAGCUUCAAAAAGGUAGAUUUUGGGUAUAAAGACAAUCUUAUAUAUUUUUUUCUUUUUCAAGACAAAGUCUCACGUUGUCAUCCAGGUUAGAGUGUAGUGGCACGAUCUAGGCUCACUGCAACUUCUGCCUCCCCGAUUCAAGCGAUUCUUGUGUGUCAGCCUCCUGAGUAGCUGGGACCACGAGCGUGCACCACCACGCCUGGCUAAUUUUUGUAUUUUUAGUAGAGAUGGGGUUUUGCCAUGUUGGCCAAGCUGGUCUCAAACUCCUGGCCCCAAGUGAUACACCUGUCUUGGCCUCCCAAAGUGCUGGGAUUACAGGCGUGAGCCACCAUGCCUGGCCAAA